rnacentral:rRNA from 1 species
CCGACGGUGAGGGGCGAAAGCUGGGGGAGCAAACCGGAUUAGAUACCCGGGUAGUCCCAGCCGUAAACGAUGUGCGUUAGGUGUAUCGGUGACCACGAGUCACCGAGGUGCCGAAGAGAAAUCGUGAAACGUACCGCCUGGGAAGUACGGUCGCAAGGCUGAAACUUAAAGGAAUUGGCGGGGGAGCACCACAACAGGUGGAGCCUGCGGUUUAAUCGGACUCAACGCCGGGAAACUCACUAGAUAAGACAGCUGAAUGAUAGUCGGGCUGAAGACUCUACUUGACUAGCUGAGAGGAGGUGCAUGGCCGUCGUCAGUUCGUACUGUGAAGCAUCCUGUUAAGUCAGGCAACGAGCGAGACCCACGCCAACAGUUGCU